ACACCAAGGGCUAUGCGCAAUAUAACCCGUUUGGCUCCAUGGAGGUGGAGAACACCAUCGAGUUGCAGUGCAGCAUUGCCGAUGUCUUCAGGUGGAGCAAGAUGGAGAAGAUCCUGCAGAUGCCACCACAGUCCUCUGAAGCUGCACUGCAGGCCCUUAAGGAGGAGAAGACAGGCACUCCCUCCAGAGAGAAGAGCAUUAACAUCUACAGCACUGUGGGCCUGGACUGGGGGGGGAUCUGGACCUCACCCACAAACUCUGGGGCAAGAUGCGAACAGUAUAACAUCCUACCAGGACAUCAUGGACUGCCUGAAGACGGUCAUCUCUGCUGUUGUGUGAGAUUACAUACAUGACACGAGCCUGCUGAGCCUGGCCCCGUACACAUGCUUCUGCAGAUGGGCCUGGACAAGAUGAGGAAAAACUACAACAACUACCUCAUAGGAAAGGAGUUGACCACUCUUAAUUAUUUGCUGAAUUUCUACCUGAACACAGAGAUGAACCUCCAAGAGCAAGUGACUCGCAUAAAGAAACUGCACAACCACUGGAGAUCGCUGCGAUCUGCUGCACCUUCCCCUACCUGCACCAUGAGAGCCUCCUCCCAUUUACACAAUCGUGCUUGAGGUACUACAAAAACAGCCCUUAUGAUGAGGAACGCGUCUUUCAGAUGGAAAUCAGACCUAUCAUGAUCCGCAGCUUCUACCAAAAGGCUUGUGAGAAGUGUGGCAGCCAGCCUCUGGUGAAUCAUGUGACCUUACACCUCAGAUGUAAUUAGAAGAGCAAUGCGACAGCAAGAAAGAGCUGCACCAUGAAUUGCCUGGCCCAAAGCCUGUCUAGCUGCUGACAGCCUUGGCUGGACCCUGGACAUGUCAUUCAUCAGCCACCCUCCAUCUAGCAUUCUUUUGUUUAGUAUUAGUAUGUGGUAUCUAUUUUGUAAUGAUGGACUUUACAUAGUGCUGUGGGAAUAUAGAAUGCACUUCUGUGAGUCCAUUACGGAAAACUGUGAGAUCGUGUGUGUGUGUGUGUGUGUGUGUGUGUGUGUGUGUGUGUGUGUGUGUGUGUGUGUGUGUGUGUGUGUGUGUGUGUCACAAGUCACCUUUUCCUCCUUGAAGGGUUGUAAUUGGGCUGAUAUUAUUUACUGUAUUUUAUUUAUUAGUACUCUUACUUUAUAUUAAUGUAUUUAAUUUAAAUGUAUAUUAAUGCAUACUUUUAUUAAUGCAUUAUACUGCAACACUGGACAGAUUUUAGGACACUAUGAUCUACCCCAAGUUAUUUAAUCUGAACACCUUGUUGGUUUACUGUGUACUGUACAGUAAUGUGGAUGGCUGCUUUUUCCCUUGCAAUAUUAUAACUUGUGUUUUUGUGUUUGCUGCUGGACAUCAUUAUUUCCUUCCGCAUCAUUAAAGUUAAUCUAAUCUA